rnacentral:rRNA from 1 species
AUUGAACGCUGGCGGCAGGCCUAACACAUGCAAGUCGAGCGGAGCGGCGGACGGGUGAGUAAUGCCUAGGAAUCUGCCUGGUAGUGGGGGAUAACGUCCGGAAACGGGCGCUAAUACCGCAUACUAUCAGAUGAGCCUAGGUCGGAUUAGCUAGUUGGUGGGGUAAAGGCCCACCAAGGCGACGAUCCUUAACUGGUCUGAGAGGAUGAUCAGUCAGAAUGGAACGGAGACGAGUGCCAGAAUCCUACGGGAGGCAGCAGUGGGGAAUAUUGGACAAUGGUGGAAAGCCGGAUCCAGCCAUGCCGGGUGUGGGAAGAGGGUCUUCGGAGUGUAAAGCACUUUAAGUUGGGAGGCGUUACCAACAGAAUAAGCACCGGCUAACUUCGUGCCAGCCGCCGCGGUAAUAC